rnacentral:rRNA from 1 species
UACGAAGGGUGCUAGCGUUGUUCGGAAUCACUGGGCGUAAAGCGCGCGUAGGCGGCUAUUCAAGUCAGGGGUGAAAUCCUGGGGCUCAACCCCAGAACUGCCUCUGAAACUGUAUAGCUUGAGUGUCGGAGGGGAUAGCGGAAUUCCUAAUGUAGAGGUGAAAUUCGUAGAUAUUCGGAAGAACACCAGUGGCGAAGGCGACUUACUGGACGAUUGUUGACGCUGAGGUGCGAAAGCGUGGGGAGCAAACAGG